UUUAUCAAGAACUAUUUCCAGGUAGCAUAUACUUUUAGCGAAUCUUGAUGUUUUGUGUUACCUUACUAUUCUUACACUUGGUGUAUUUUUUUCCCUCUCCACCGCAGGAUUUUUCAACGUUUUCCUUUCGCCGUUGCUUGCCUUCAAGUUGGACAAUUUUGUUGUUUUCAGGACUCAGGAGUGAUUACUCUUAUUUCUGAGAAAAUAUUUCUGGACCUGGAAAACUUUUGAGCGAUAUUUUUUGUGCAUUUCUCCAUUGGCAUGUAAGUUAUGUUGCUGUGUCCCAUUGACUUUCUUAACUUCUAAUGCUUCUGAAGAUUUCCUUUUCUUAUUUAGUAUUGUUGGCUUUCAGUAUAUUCAUGCUUGUGUAUGAUUUCAGCUGCAAGGAUGCUAUUUUUGUAUCUUUUUUCUGCUUCCAUUUUAGCUAUUGCCAUGUGAAACCUUUUAUCAACAAAAUUAUCCAUUUUUGGGAUCAUGUGGACUAACAAUCAAAACUUCCCCAGCAACUUCGAAGCCAAAAGCAAAAGAAUGACGGAGAGUACGUUCUCACGAACUCUAGGAAACAUGGGUUGUGUUCCAAAGCUAAAGGAAAUUGAAACUUAAACUCUGGGAGUGUGCGAAUUGCAACCUGGAUAGAUUGGGCUUGUCCAGGUUUUUUUUGUUCCCUUGUGCAGAUAAUGGCGUGGUCAAAGCUGGAUUUUCUAACAGAGUUUGGUAGGCAUAGGAAGCAAAGAGGUGAGUUCGAAAUCUAAAAUAUGUGCAUUGUUUUUGAGAAUUUUUAAGGCGUUGAUUAUGAGCUAUGUUCGGGUAUGUGAUUGUAUGUAAUGUGACAUG